CUCAGCGCGAGAUCGCGUGAAAAUUAAGCUACCUUAUGCCUAUAAAAGGAGUAGGAAGCAAAGGAGAAAAAUAUAUCGGGAUACCAAUCCCUAAAUCACCCCGAAGACUCAGAGCUCUCUAAUGAAUACAUCUUAAGCCUGAGUAUUUCUAAUAAAGGGAACCCUCUAUUUAUGUCCAUUAUUCUCUUAUCCUCCUCUAUCCAUCCCUCUUCUUCUAUCUACAUCAACCUCUAAAUUGUAAAGUCUCUCAUGACAAUGAGAUGCUAAACCCCAUUAGUUAGGGUCUGACAAGGUAAUUUCUAAUAGAACUCAAAGGAAAUGAUAUCUUAAUAAAAUAAUUGCUAGACAUAAAGUGAUUGCAUUAUGUCCAUGCAUCAAAGCAAACAUCUAAAAUUAGAACUUUGUUUUAUCUAUUGAGUCUUUGCAAAAACAUUUGAGAGAUAGAUAAGAUAGGCUUGUCAUCGUGAGAAUCAGGAGCAAGUAUUCUAGUAGACGUGGAAAGGAC
rnacentral:lncRNA from 1 species